GGCUCAGGAUGAACGCUAGCGACAGGCCUAACACAUGCAAGUCGAGGGGCAGCGGAGAGGUAGCAAUACCUUGCCGGCGACCGGCGCACGGGUGAGUAACACGUAUGCAAUCCACCUGUAACAGGGGGAUAACCCGGAGAAAUCCGGACUAAUACCCCAUAAUAUGGGCGCUCCGCAUGGAGGGUCCAUUAAAGAGAGCAAUUUUGGUUACAGACGAGCAUGCGCUCCAUUAGCCAGUUGGCGGGGUAACGGCCCACCAAAGCGACGAUGGAUAGGGGUUCUGAGAGGAAGGCCCCCCACAUUGGAACUGAGACACGGUCCAAACUCCUACGGGAGGCAGCAGUGAGGAAUAUUGGUCAAUGGACGAGAGUCUGAACCAGCCAAGUAGCGUGCAGGAUGACGGCCCUAUGGGUUGUAAACUGCUUUUAUAAGGGAAUAAAGUGAGUCUCGUGAGACUUUUUGCAUGUACCUUAUGAAUAAGGACCGGCUAAUUCCGUG
rnacentral:rRNA from 1 species